rnacentral:rRNA from 1 species
AACUGCCCGUACCGCAAACCGACACAGGUAGUCGAGAUGAGAAUUCUAAGGUGAGCGAGCGAACUCUCGUUAAGGAACUCGGCAAAAUGACCCCGUAACUUAGGGAGAAGGGGUGCUAACGCAAGUUAGCCGCAGUGAAUAGGCCCAGGCGACUGUUUACCAAAAACACAGGUCUCUGCUAAUUCGAAAGAAGAUGUAUAGGGGCUGACACCUGCCCGGUGCUGGAAGGUUAAGAGGACAAGUUAGCGUAUGCGAAGCUUUGAAUUGAAGCCCCAGUAAACGGCGGCCGUAACUAUAACGGUCCUAAGGUAGCGAAAUUCCUUGUCGGGUAAGUUCCGACCCGCACGAAAGGUGUAACGAUCUGGGCACUGUCUCAACGAGAGACUCGGUGAAAUUAUAGUACCUGUGAAGAUGCAGGUUACCCGCGACAGGACGAAAAGACCCCAUGGAGCUUUACUGUAGCUUGAUAUUGAGUGUCUGUACGGUUUGUACAGGAUAGGUAGGAGCCAUUGAACUCUGGACGCCAGUCUAGAGGGAGGCAUUGGUGGGAUACUACCCUCACCGUACGGCCACUCUAACUCGCGCCCCUUAACGGGGUGGAAGACAGUGUCAGGUGG